rnacentral:rRNA from 1 species
UAGGGAAUCUUCGGCAAUGGACGAAAGUCUCACCGAGCAACGCCGCGUGAGUGAAGAAGGUUUUCGGAUCGUAAAACUCUGUUGUUAGAGAAGAACAAGGACGUUAGUAACUGAACGUCCCCUGACGGUAUCUAACCAGAAAGCCACGGCUAACUACGUGCCAGCAGCCGCGGUAAUACGUAGGUGGCAAGCGUUGUCCGGAUUUAUUGGGCGUAAAGCGAGCGCAGGCGGUUUCUUAAGUCUGAUGUGAAAGCCCCCGGCUCAACCGGGGAGGGUCAUUGGAAACUGGGAGACUUGAGUGCAGAAGAGGAGAGUGGAAUUCCAUGUGUAGCGGUGAAAUGCGUAGAUAUAUGGAGGAACACCAGUGGCGAAGGCGGCUCUCUGGUCUGUAACUGACGCUGAGGCUCGAAAGCGUGGGGAGCAAACAGG